GUGGCUGAGGAGGGCAUUGCUGCUGGCGGUGUGAUGGUUGUUAACACUGCUUUACAAGCGGUGCUGAAGACCACUCUCGUCCAUGAUGGCCCAGCACAUGAGAUUCGCGGAGCCGCCAGAGCCUUAGACAAGUACCAAGCCCAUCUUUGUGUGCCUGUAUCCAACUGUGAUGAGCGCGUGUGUGUGUGUGUGAAGUUGGUGGAGGCCCAUGUGCUGAACACCAGAUUAGCCUAAUUAAGGUUGAUGAAAACAAGAAACUAGGGAAUGGGUGGGCCUCUGUAAUACUGACAGAGGGAAGACCCUGUAGAAAGGUUGGUUGAAGUUGUGUAAUAGUUAAGGACUAUGGAAGUUAUAAGGAAUCUCAGGCCAAGGAUGUCAUUGAAGAGCACUUUAAAUGCAAGAAAUGA
rnacentral:lncRNA from 1 species